CUAUUCAGGUAUGCCUUAGUACGGCGAGUGAAGCGGCAAAAGCUCAAAUUUGAAAUCUGGCACCUUCGGUGUCCGAGUUGUAAUUUGAAGAAGGUAACUUUGGAGUUGGCUCUUGUCUAUGUUCCUUGGAACAGGACGUCACAGAGGGUGAGAAUCCCGUGCGAUGAGAUGCCCAAUUCUAUGUAAAGUGCUUUCGAAGAGUCGAGUUGUUUGGGAAUGCAGCUCUAAGUGGGUGGUAAAUUCCAUCUAAAGCUAAAUAUUGGCGAGAGACCGAUAGCGAACAAGUACAGUGAUGGAAAGAUGAAAAGAACUUUGAAAAGAGAGUGAAAAAGUACGUGAAAUUGUUGAAAGGGAAGGGCUUGAGAUCAGACUUGGUAUUUUGCGAUCCUUUCCUUCUUGGUUGGGUUCCUCGCAGCUUACUGGGCCAGCAUCGGUUUGGAUGGUAGGAUAAUGACUAAGGAAUGUGGCUCUACUUCGGUGGAGUGUUAUAGCCUUGGUUGAUACUGCCUGUCUAGACCGAGGACUGCGUCUUUUGACUAGGAUGUUGGCAUAAUGAUCUUAAGCCACCCGUCUUGAAAACAGGAAACAAAAUGCG
rnacentral:rRNA from 1 species